GGGAGAUUCAGCUAGAACGAGAGGAUUCGUUUUCUGUCCUCCGGAACUUACAUUCACGUGGGGCGAUAGACCAUGAACAAACAAGUAGAGAAGCAAGGGAAUUUCGGAAAGUUCGAAUCGUCAUGGAGGGGGGCAAAACGGUCAAUGGAAGCAAGCGUAUUCAGUACGCAUGGCUGGUCUCCUUCCCUGACCCAGGCAAGCACCAGACCUGUAGCUCCUAGAUGAAGACGACUGAUGCUUCCUGGAAGCAGAACACACACGUGUACUUGGCCUUGCUUUCCUCAUCUCGAACACGGAGGUGGCCGUACCCACGUUGUAUUAUUAUCGUGAUAAUUCACUGAGAUCGUGCUUGUAAAACACUUCCCACCCUGACUGUAGCUGGUUCUAGGGCCGCUCCACCAAUAUUAUUACCGUACACACAACUUCACGUCCCACAGCAUCUUGCAAAAAGCUCCAAGUCAUUGUAAAUUGAGGGUCUUAAUGUUCUCCAGAGGUGUUUAAUUUCUCUUGGCCCAUGAGCCUUAAUGUGAUGUUAUUUAAACAGUAGUAGUAAGCAGAAUUUUUUUUUUGCUAAAGGAAUAGAAUGGGAUAGAUCUGCAUAGAAAAUACCAAGCGAAUUGCAUUCAAUAAGAGAGAGUGUGUGUGUGUGUGUGUGUGUGUGUGUGUGUGUGUGUGCGCGCGUGCACACACACAGGCACCAGGUCAGGCUGGGUUUCUUGCAGAUCAUUGGGGAAAUGUCAACAAACACUUUAACUAAGGGUACUCUAUGGAAUACAAAGGGUUAAUCUUCAAACCAUUUACCCCUUCACCAGAAUCUGGCCCAUUAUCUCCUAAAUCACAGCCACACCCCCCAGCACCUUGAGAGAUAAACAGGAGGCAGGUACUUAUUAAUUUUAUUUUUCCCUUUUCUGAGGGCAGUGGUUCUCAACUACACUCAGCUGCACAUUAGAUUCUCCGAGGGAGCUUUGAAAAAUCCCCAUGCUGAGGCCCCACCCCAGACCAA